rnacentral:rRNA from 1 species
GGGGCCUACGGGAGGCAGCAGUAGGGAAUCUUCCGCAAUGGACGAAAGUCUGACGGAGCAACGCCGCGUGAGUGAUGAAGGCUUUCGGGUCGUAAAACUCUGUUGUUAGGGAAGAACAAGUGCUAGUUGAAUAAGCUGGCACCUUGACGGUACCUAACCAGAAAGCCACGGCUAACUACGUGCCAGCAGCCGCGGUAAUACAA